rnacentral:rRNA from 1 species
CCUACGGGGGGCUGCAGUGGGGAAUAUUGGACAAUGGGGGCAACCCUGAUCCAGCCAUGCCGCGUGUGUGAAGAAGGCCCUCGGGUUGUAAAGCACUUUCAGUGAGGAAGAACGCCUGGUGGUUAAUACCCAUCAGGAAAGACAUCACUCACAGAAGAAGCACCGGCUAACUCCGUGCCAGCAGCCGCGGUAAUACGGAGGGUGCGAGCGUUAAUCGGAAUUACUGGGCGUAAAGCGCGCGUAGGUGGCUUGAUAAGCCGGUUGUGAAAGCCCCGGGCUCAACCUGGGAACGGCAUCCAGAACUGUCAAGCUAGAGUGCAGGAGAGGAAGGUAGAAUUCCCGGUGUAGCGGUGAAAUGCGUAGAGAUCGGGAGGAAUACCAGUGGCGAAGGCGGCCUUCUGGACUGACACUGACACUGAGGUGCGAAAGCGUGGGUAGCAAACAGGAUUAGAUACCCUAGUAGUC